GCGGAGCUUGCAGUGAGCCGAGAUUGCGCCACUGCACCCCAGGCUGGGCGACAGAGCGAGACUCUGUCUCAAAACAAACAAACAAACAAACAAAAACUCUAGGUGUCGGGGAACAGGAGCCACGUCCACUCCAGAAAUUAGGCAUCAGGACUAGGAGCCCUUAGAAAUUUAGUCAGGGCUUGGAUUUCAGGUACCUUAUGGAAGAAAUCAGAGGUCAGGCUUUUCUGCUGCCACCACCUGCUUCAGCCAGGUAACCCUCAGCAACCAGGUGCACUGAUCCAGGAUCACUGGCUCUCUAUGCUGCUGCUGCUGCUGCUGCUGCUACUGAUGAUGAUUGCUAUUAUUUUUGAGACAGGGUCUCGCUCUGUCACCCAGGAUGGAGUGCAGUGGGAUGACCAUGGCUCACUGCAGCCUUAAUCUCCUGGGCUCAAGCGAUCCUCCCACCUCAGCC
rnacentral:lncRNA from 1 species